GGGUUGUGAGGUUAAGCGACUAAGCGUACACGGUGGAUGCCCUGGCAGUCAGAGGCGAUGAAGGACGUGCUAAUCUGCGAUAAGCGUCGGUAAGGUGAUAUGAACCGUUAUAACCGGCGAUUUCCGAAUGGGGAAACCCAGUGUGAUUCGUCACACUAUCAUUAACUGAAUCCAUAGGUUAAUGAGGCGAACCGGGGGAACUGAAACAUCUAAGUACCCCGAGGAAAAGAAAUCAACCGAGAUUCCCCCAGUAGCGGCGAGCGGACGGGGAGCAGCCCAGAGCCUGAAUCAGUGUGUGUGUUAGUGGAAGCGUCUGGAAAGGCGUGCGAUACAGGGUGACAGCCCCGUACACAAAAAUGCACAUAUUGUGAGCUUGAUGAGUAGGGCGGGACACGUGGUAUCCUGUCUGAAUAUGGGGGGACCAUCCUCCAAGGCUAAAUACUCCUGACUGACCGAUAGUGAACCAGUACCGUGAGGGAAAGGCGAAAAGAACCCCGGCGAGGGGAGUGAAAAAGAACCUGAAACCGUGUACGUACAAGCAGUGGGAGCACGCUUAGGCGUGUGACUGCGUACCUUUUGUAUAAUGGGUCAGCGACUUAUAUUCUGUAGCAAGGUUAACCGAAUAGGGGAGCCGAAGGGAAACCGAGUCUUAACUGGGCGUUAAGUUGCAGGGUAUAGACCCGAAACCCGGUGAUCUAGCCAUGGGCAGGUUGAAGGUUGGGUAACACUAACUGGAGGACCGAACCGACUAAUGUUGAAAAAUUAGCGGAUGACUUGUGGCUGGGGGUGAAAGGCCAAUCAAACCGGGAGAUAGCUGGUUCUCCCCGAAAGCUAUUUAGGUAGCGCCUCGUGAAUUCAUCUCCGGGGGUAGAGCACUGUUUCGGCA
rnacentral:rRNA from 2 species